rnacentral:rRNA from 1 species
AGUGAACGCUGGCGGUAGGCCUAACACAUGCAAGUCGAACGGCAGCACAGUAAGAGCUUGCUCUUACGGGUGGCGAGUGGCGGACGGGUGAGGAAUACAUCGGAAUCUACUUUUUCGUGGGGGAUAACGUAGGGAAACUUACGCUAAUACCGCAUACGACCUACGGGUGAAAGCAGGGGAUCUUCGGACCUUGCGCGAUUGAAUGAGCCGAUGUCGGAUUAGCUAGUUGGCGGGGUAAAGGCCCACCAAGGCGACGAUCCGUAGCUGGUCUGAGAGGAUGAUCAGCCACACUGGAACUGAGACACGGUCCAGACUCCUACGGGAGGCAGCAGUGGGGAAUAUUGGACAAUGGGCGCAAGCCUGAUCCAGCCAUACUGCGUGGGUGAAGAAGGCCUUCGGGUUGUAAAGCCCUUUUGUUGGGAAAGAAAAGCAGCAGGUUAAUACCCCGCUGUUCUGACGGUACCCAAAGAAUAAGCACCGGCGAACUUCGU